rnacentral:rRNA from 1 species
CCUACGGGGGGCAGCAGUGGGGAAUAUUGGACAAUGGGGGGAACCCUGAUCCAGCGACGCCGCGUGAGUGAAGAAGUAUUUCGGUAUGUAAAGCUCUAUCAGCAGGGAAGAAAGAAAUGACGGUACCUGACUAAGAAGCCGCGGCUAACUACGUGCCAGCAGCCGCGGUAAUACGUAGGGGGAAAGCGUUAUCCGGAUUUACUGGGUGUAAAGGGAGCGUAGACGGCGAUGCAAGUCUGAAGUGAAAGGCGGGGGCCCAACCCCUGGACUGCUUUGGAAACUGGAUGGCUGGAGUGCAGGAGAGGUAAGUGGAAUUCCUGGUGUAGCGGUGAAAUGCGUAGAGAUUAGGAGGAACACCAGUGGCGAAGGCGGCUUACUGGACUGUAACUGACGCUGAGGCUCGAAAGCGUGGGGAGCAAACAGGAUUAGAUACCCGUGUAGUC